ACGCUCGACACCUACUGGAGGCAGCAGUGGGGAAUAUUGCACAAUGGGGGAAACCCUGAUGCAGCGACGCCGCGUGAGCGAAGAAGUAUUUCGGUAUGUAAAGCUCUAUCAGCAGGGAAGAAACUGACGGUACCUGACUAAGAAGCACCGGCUAAAUACGUGCAGCAGCCGCGGUAAUCUGAGCGGGCUGGCAAGGC
rnacentral:rRNA from 1 species